rnacentral:rRNA from 1 species
GAGUUUGAUCCUGGCUCAGGACGAACGCUGGCGGCGUGCUUAACACAUGCAAGUCGAACGGUGAAGCACCUUCCUUUUGGUGGGUGUGGAUGAGUGGCGAACGGGUGAGUAACACGUGAGUAACCUGCCCCCUUCUUCUGGAUAACCGCAUGAAAGUGUGGCUAAUACGGGAUAUUCUGUGCCUGCUGCAUGGUGGGUGUGGGAAAGAUGCGCCUUUGGGUGUUUUUGGUGGGGGAUGGGCUCGCGGCCUAUCAGCUUGUUGGUGGGGUGAUGGCCUACCAAGGCGGUGACGGGUAGCCGGCCUGAGAGGGUGGACGGUCACACUGGGACUGAGACACGGCCCAGACUCCUACGGGAGGCAGCAGUGGGGAAUAUUGCACAAUGGGCGCAAGCCUGAUGCAGCGACGCCGCGUGAGGGAUGGAGGCCUUCGGGUUGUAAACCUCUUUCGCCAGUGAAGCAGGCCUGUCCCUUGUGGUUGGGUUGACGGUAGCUGGAUAAGAAGCGCCGGCUAACUACGUGCCAGCAGCCGCGGUAAUACGUAGGGCGCGAGCGUUGUCCGGAAUUAUUGGGCGUAAAGAGCUCGUAGGCGGCCGGUCGCGUCUGUCGUGAAAUCCUCUGGCUUAACUGGGGGCUUGCGGUGGGUACGGGCCGGCUUGAGUGCGGUAGGGGAGACUGGAACUCCUGGUGUAGCGGUGGAAUGCGCAGAUAUCAGGAAGAACACCGGGUGGCGAAGGCGGGUCUCUGGGCCGUUACUGACGCUGAGGAGCGAAAGCGUGGGGAGCGAACAGGAUUAGAUACCCUGGUAGUCCACGCCGUAAACGUUGGGCACUAGGUGUGGGGGGCCUUUUCCGGGUCUUCCGCGCCGUAGCUAACGCAUUAAGUGCCCCGCCUGGGGAGUACGGCCGCAAGGCUAAAACUCAAAGGAAUUGACGGGGGCCCGCACAAGCGGCGGAGCAUGCGGAUUAAUUCGAUGCAACGCGAAGAACCUUACCAAGGCUUGACAUGUGCCGGUCGGCUCCGGAGACGGGGUUUCCUCCUUGUGGGGCCGGUUCACAGGUGGUGCAUGGUUGUCGUCAGCUCGUGUCGUGAGAUGUUGGGUUAAGUCCCGCAACGAGCGCAACCCUUGUCCCGUGUUGCCAGCACGUUGUGGUGGGGACUCGCGGGAGACUGCCGGGGUCAACUCGGAGGAAGGUGGGGAUGACGUCAAAUCAUCAUGCCCCUUAUGUCUUGGGCUUCACGCAUGCUACAAUGGCCGGUACAGAGGGCUGCGAUACCGUGAGGUGGAGCGAAUCCCUUAAAGCCGGUCUCAGUUCGGAUCGGUGUCUGCAACUCGACACCGUGAAGUUGGAGUCGCUAGUAAUCGCAGAUCAGCAACGCUGCGGUGAAUACGUUCUCGGGCCUUGUACACACCGCCCGUC